rnacentral:rRNA from 1 species
UACGUAGGGUGCGAGCGUUAAUCGGAAUUACUGGGCGUAAAGCGUGCGCAGGCGGUUUGUAAGCCAGGUGUGAAAUCCCCGGGCUCAACCUGGGAAUGGCAUUUGGGACUGCAAGGCUGGAGUGACGGCAGAGGAGACUGGAAUUCCUGGUGAGCAGUGAAAUGCGUAGAUAUCAGGAGGAACACCGAUGGCGAAGGCAGGUCUCUGGGCUGACACUGACGCUCAUGCACGAAAGCGUGGGGAGCGAAACAAGG